CCUCCCAGCUCAGCAGCACUGGGCAGCGCCAGGCCUGUCACCAGCCUGGCCCUGGGGAUCCAGCGCCUGUUUAUGAGGCCAGCCAGCCCCGUCACAGCCGCGCCCACGGAGGACGACAGAUGCAGUUCGUGGGGGAGGAAGCUGCCCGAGCCGCCUGUGAUUUUACCCUGGCCAGCGCUGAGUCCACUCCAGAAGGCCUCUGGGUCUCAGCAGGUCUUGUUCCCACACCGUUGGUUCUAAAACAUACACUUACGUGAGCGGAUGGGGAGCCUGGCAUCUCCGGAGGUGCACACCACCCCCACUGCCCAGACACACAAGGAGUCACCUCAUCUCCCCCCUGGGCAUUUCAGUCUCAAGAGAGAGGCUUCCAACAUGUGGAAAAGACGAAGCUGCUGGCCCAGUGGUCACUUCCACAGCCAGGCCAUUCUACAAAGGACAUUGACCGUCAGGGGAUGGCCACGCUUGGGCCGAAGCACACCUGACCAGGGUCAUUGCUAAUAAUCAGACCAACUGGCAAAAAGCCACCCACCUGGUGAAGAGUUAUGGAAGAGAGGACCCAGCCCCCAAGUGUAAUCAGGUCCUGCGGUGCUGGGGCUUAAGGAUUCAGCUUGCCCAAGGGAAGGGGCCAUCACUCCCCGAAGGUGCAGCUAACAGCGUCCAAGGACAGAGCCCGUUUUGUUUCCCAGGCUCCUCAGCUCGUCCAGCACCAGCUUUGCCAGAGCCCCCCAAAUGAUCUUCGCUGCAUAAAGUGGGUCACAUUCCUCCCGCCUACAAGUGCGUCUCCUGUCACCUGUUACCUGCUUCUAAAGCCACAUAAUCGGAGUUGCUACUUGCCUGCUACCAGCAUCCUCCGUACUUGCUGCAGCAGCCUCUUCCAGGCCCGAUUCCUGUGCUGGUCGGAUGUGGUCAGGUGCUGCGUGACAGACACCCCUGGGUGUCCAUGGAUGACCACAGCCGAGGUUCAGCUUCAUAAACCUUUCAUGAUUAAGCUGCCCCUUCACAUUAGAGGCCUUCUGGCUGGGGCUCCGCCCACCGCCAUCCUCAUUCUGCAUCCAGGCUGGAGGUGGGUAAACUGAGGCAGGUUAAAGUGGCUGCCACACGUGUGCGCUUGCAAAGGAGACCAUAAUGUGUAAAAGAAAAUAAAUCGCCAAAAAGGAUGCAGAGCUUCUUCCGACUCUUAUAAACAGUAUCUAUUCAUGCCUGUAUGCACAGAGGACCUGGAAGGUUUCAUAUCAAGCUCUUGAGGCUGAUUCUCUGGGGACCAGAAAUGUGAGAUCAUCGAACCUACUCCCUGACGCCCCGAGGACUUGCCAAGCCAGGCUUUUCUCUCAGGCAUCGCCCCUGAGCCCAGCCGCCGGACCCCGCCAGGGAAGGAACACGCCCCCUCCGCCUCCCCCUGGACGGGCACACGGACACACAGCCUCCUGGUCAGACCCAGGUUCGGAGUGAUGCUGUGAAGGUACGGGAGCAAACCACCACCUGGCGGUCAGUGAUCCAGACCAGGACCCCAGCCAACAAGGUCAAAGGCAGAAUCAGGGUCAUUGGGCCCCAGGAGGCCCAGGGCCAGAGCCCCACUCCUCACUACUGCCUGGUUUCCUGGGAGUAGGCAGCCCCCCUCUUCUGCCCACCUGGGGAGUCACAGGCAGGGAGGUAAUGCAGCGCCCACAAACCCCCUUUUGGACUGUGGGUGUUACUCUUGCUCGAUCAUCACCCCCCCACACACACACCCCAACCCCAAAGAUGGAGCCUCCACAAAGCCCCCUAUUAAGAAAUUGGUCAAUUUCCUGCUAAUUAAAAUAAAUACUAUGCCACA